rnacentral:lncRNA from 1 species
AUGUCGGUUAUGGUCAAGGCGACCCCGCUCGCAGCAGCGAAAGCCGGCGGUCCGGGAUGCAGAACCGAGCGGGGAGACCCGGCUGCUGCGAGAUGGGGGAACCGAGGGCCGUGGGGGCGGGCGGGGACGGGGAGAGGGGUUGUCUCCAGACCCGGGACACUGAGGCCCGGGCGAUGGAACGGACCCUGCCGGAGGAGAUCGCUGAUUCACUGCUUGGUGAGGGAUCUCCUCCUGCUUGGAAGUGGAGAAAGGACGGCGGCCUUCACUCUCCUCUUCCCAACCACAACCCCUAACGAAAUAAUCCACCCGACGCCCUCUCCCUUCAUCUGCCAUUCCUUCUGCGGCCUGAUCUCCAGCCAGAGCUCGGGCCGAUCAUUCUAUUCCAUCUUCUUUUCCUCUGCCUUCUCGGAACCCGGACCUGGGUUCAGAGAAACGGAGUCCGAUCUGAGUAUAUAUCCCGGCGGAACCUGCACUAUGAGGUCUCCCUGGGAGAGAGGCGCCAAGCCGGGGAUCCGGGGAAGCGGGGACCUGGAGAUCGUGGCUCUGGAAAUGGUCCGCACUAUCAGGACCGGUUGAAGCACAACCUUCCAGGCGAGGAUAUGAACUCAUACCGCUUACCGGCGUUUCUACCGCAAUCUCAACAGCUCUGGUGCACUGCCUUCAUUCUCCCUCUUCCAAAAUGGUCCCUUCCCGAUAAUGAGAAAUAAUAAACCGUUAUCAUAAGAAACGAGUUUGUUUGUUUGUUUGUUUUUUAACUGGGUCCCAUGCCCGAAAGAUCCGGUAAACACUGUGUAACCAGAGGGCGUUUUAGCUGCUGUUUAGGGCUUCUUGAAGUAUUGGGAUGGGAGCUUGGGACCGGAGAAAAUAAAUAUUUCAUCCAUUUUUCUGGGUCCAACCUAGUCCAUGUAAACUAAAAGGAAAUCCACAACUUCGCCGUCCUCUCCCAUCCCUGUUAAGAAGGAGUUUUCGUAAGCAGUGAUGUUCUUUCUCGUUUAUGUUUGUAAAAAGUCAACGUGCCCAAGGAGAUAUUCAUUUCAAAGCUUUAAAACGAUCCGAGUCAGAUUUCGCCUCCCCAAAUCUAUUUUAAAAUGUCUACCCCAACGCCCAAGUCAGCACCUUUCCCUGAGUUUCGUGGAUUGUAAUGUCUUCAUUCCACACAAUACCACCCUCGAGUUUAAACCGAGACUACCAUCGGCGUUCAAACCAACGUCCCGCUCGAGUGAGCAAGGCGCACAGGGUCAGAGCUGGGUCUCACUACAGCCACCAAUACUCGGCCAAUUCUGAACCCCAGCGUCAACAAAGAAUUGGGGCCCGAGUACUGAGCAGCACUGGGUACUGCAAAUUCCGUUAUCUGGGCUCAUAAUGGAGUUAGAGCUGGAGAAACCGAGGCCCUUUUUUAUCUUAGAAAUGUAAAGGAUGGCGAACGGGAAAUGGGAAAAAAAAUAAUUAAGGAGAAGAAAGAAAAAACAUGGAUAGCAUGGAAAGAAUUUAAGAAAGAAACAGGGUAGGAAAUUUGGCCCAGAGCAUAUAAAUAGUGAGUUAUGUCCAUUUAAAUCUAGCUGGACGAAAAGACUGAUUUGGAGAUUACUUGAGCCGAGUUCAAGCCUAGUGCAAGCUCUGGAAAAUACCUAUUUACAAAGAGCGGCUUCCAAGAGCAGUUGCAGAAAUAAAACGUGUUUGCUCCCAAAUGGCCUUUUCUCGAACAAAGAGUCCCAGGAGUACGGACUGGAGACUUUGAACCAGAAAACAGUAUGAAAACUUGACGCUCCAGUACAAUGUGCAAAGCAAAAUAGUCCGCCCUAUAGUAGGUUUAGCAAAGGAUUUAUUUCUCUCUCUCUCUCUCUUUCUAACCGAAAACUCAGAUAGAGAUCAUUUCUAGCCACUGCAUUUGACCAGUAACCCUGCGAAAUGACCUUACUUUCUUAAAACUUUCACCCCGCCUUCAGAAUAAUACAGAAUGUCUUGUAUAACUCGAUAUAGACAUUAAGUAUUCAUUUAGUUGAAUUUUCAACUUUAGAACUGUUUCUUUCUCUUCCCCGCCAAGUGAGGAGCUUCUCGAGUGGAGUAAAUACAAAACACUACCCGUAGCCUCGGAGAAACUCUGUGAAAACACUGAAUUAGACUUGAAUUUUUAAACUUGAGGGCACUUACCUUGACGCAUUUCCUAAAUCACUGCCAAGAAGGAUUUCACUUCACCUCGCAGGAACGCCCUUCCCAGCCUCGCACAUAUGUUUUUUUCUAAAAAAAAAAAAAUAAUCUUUCGAGGACACUUUUUCGAAUGGUAGCGUGGAAAGUGGAAUUAUUUAACGUGCUUCUCCUAGGAUCUGUAGUGAACAAAGGCCAAGAUUCUUGCAGCGGUUCGCUUCUCCCCCGGCGGCAUUGACAUUGAUCUGAAGCACGCCAUCUCGUGGUAGCAGAGAUCCUAAGGAGGAGAGACUAAUGAAUUCAAACUCGGGAUUCUAAUAAAGGGAUGCCGGAGAGGGUGCCCAGACCACUGCUAUUCAGAUCUAAUUUU